CCUACGGGAGGCAGCAGUGAGGAAUAUUGGACAAUGGGCGCAAGCCUGAUCCAGCCAUGCCGCGUGCAGGAAGAAGCAUCUAUGGUGUGUAAACUGCUUUUGUACGGGAAGAAACACUGCUACGUGUAGCAGCUUGACGGUACCGUAAGAAUAAGGAUCGGCUAACUCCGUGCCAGCAGCCGCGGUAAUACGGAGGAUCCAAGCGUUAUCCGGAAUCAUUGGGUUUAAAGGGUCCGUAGGCGGUUUGGUAAGUCAGUGGUGAAAGCCCAUCGCUUAACGAUGGAACGGCCAUUGAUACUGCCAGACUUGAAUUACUAGGAAGUAACUAGAAUAUGUAGUGUAGCGGUGAAAUGCUUAGAUAUUACAUGGAAUACCAAUUGCGAAGGCAGGUUACUACUAGUUUAUUGACGCUGAUGGACGAAAGCGUGGGGAGCGAACAGGAUUAGAUACCCUGGUAGUCCACGCCGUAAACGAUGGAUACUAGCUGUUCGGGGUAACCUGAGUGGCUAAGCGAAAGUGAUAAGUAUCCCACCUGGGGAGUACGUUCGCAAGAAUGAAACUCAAAGGAAUUGACGG
rnacentral:rRNA from 1 species